AGUGAACGCUGGCGGUAGGCCUAACACAUGCAAGUCGAACGGCAGCACAGUAAGAGCUUGCUCUUACGGGUGGCGAGUGGCGGACGGGUGAGGAAUACAUCGGAAUCUACUUUUUCGUGGGGGGUAACGUAGGGAAACUUACGCUAAUACCGCAUACGACCUACGGGUGAAAGCAGGGGAUCUUCGGACCUUGCGCGAUUGAAUGAGCCGAUGUCAGAUUAGCUAGUUGGCGGGGUAAAGGCCCACCAAGGCGACGAUCCGUAGCUGGUCUGAGAGGAUGAUCAGCCACACUGGAACUGAGACACGGUCCAGACUCCUACGGGAGGCAGCAGUGGGGAAUAUUGGACAAUGGGCGCAAGCCUGAUCCAGCCAUACCGCGUGGGUGAAGAAGGCCUUCGGGUUGUAAAGCCCUUUUGUUGGGAAAGAAAAGCAGCAGGUUAAUACCCCGCUGUUCUGACGGUACCCAAAGAAUAAGCACCGGCUAACUUCGUG
rnacentral:rRNA from 1 species